rnacentral:rRNA from 1 species
UGGGGAAUAUUGCACAAUGGGGGAAACCCUGAUGCAGCGACGCCGCGUGAACGAAGAAGGUAUUCGUAUCGUAAAGUUCUGUCCUAUGGGAAGAUAAUGACAGUACCAUAGAAGAAAGCUCCGGCUAAAUACGUGCCAGCAGCCGCGGUAAUACGUAUGGAGCGAGCGUUGUCCGGAAUUAUUGGGCGUAAAGGGUACGCAGGCGGUUUAAUAAGUCGAAUGUUAAAGAUCGGGGCUCAACCCCGUAAAGCAUUGGAAACUGAUAAACUUGAGUAGUGGAGAGGAAAGUGGAAUUCCUAGUGUAGUGGUGAAAUACGUAGAUAUUAGGAGGAAUAACAGUAGCGAAGGAGACUUUCUGGACACAAACUGACGCUGAGGUACGAAAGCGUGGGGAGCAAACAGG